CAUUGACAAAGGCACACUACCUGAAAGGGUGGGUCGCAAAGCACCAGGGUCUAAGGUUAUUCAACUAUGAUCGCCUUGCUACCGGA
rnacentral:ncRNA from 1 species